AUAGACACACACACUAUAACACAUAUAUAUACAUAUAUCAACCUAAAAGCAAAAAGAACCCAAUAACCAAAACUUAGCGUGUUUGGUAGGAAGAAAAAUUGAAAAAUAUUUUUCAGAAAAAUAAAUUAUUUUCUGGCAACAAAAUAUCAAAAACUAUUUUUUAUUGAUAGGGGAAAAUGAUAAAUAUCUCUUACUUUUAUUUUAUUUUUGUAUGGGGUCAAAUUCUGUCCAUUACGUCUCCACGUUGGUAGACAUGACCAACGAAUAUACGACAACCGAAGAAAGGGCACGACCUAAGAAUGUGGGAGUGAAGCGUAUCAUCGGUCUCGUCGUCUCCUCGAAGGAACGCGACCAAUCUCUGUACUGUUUUAUUAUUUCAAGGAGGGUCUCCUGUUAUAUAAAAGGAGGAUCCCAAUGUUGUAAGGGGGCAUCUGAUAUUCUAUUGAACAAAUCAAUCAAUCUCUCUCUCUCUCUCUCUCUCUCUCUCUCUCUCUCUCUCUCUUUCUCUCUUCUUCUCUCUUGAAUAUCCGAUCUAUUGGAAGCAAUAAGAAACAUACUACAUAUUUCUCGGC
rnacentral:lncRNA from 1 species